rnacentral:lncRNA from 1 species
UAAUGUAUUGCAUUCCUCAGUAUAACAGUGAUGCCCGACCUAAUGUAUCGCAUUACUGCAGUAUUAUAGUGAUGCCCGACUAAUGUAAAUCCUUCUUUAGUUUUUCUACUUCUUCACACCCCUGACAAAUAUUAUGUACAAUAUCAAGCAUGGCUGAGUUUGAAUUGUAACUUGUUCUUCUAGUCUAGAAUUCAGAAACACGGGAUUCAAUAUGAAUCAAAUAGCUUUAUUAAUCGUACUUGAUUUAGUAUUAAAAUCAUGUUUUGAUAAACUUUCAAACCCAUAUAAUUGUCAUAUUAAUUAUAAAAUGAAAUGUAAAUCGUUAUGAGCAUACGGGAUAAACCCGGAAAAGUAUCCUGAUGCUGUUUGCUAGCUUCCAUUGGUUCCAAAACAGUUACUUGAAUGACUCCCAUUGUUAAGUGAUGACUUGAGAUCCUGCAAAGGCGAUGAUUCAAGCAAACAUGUUUUAGAAAUUCGAGUCAGAAUGGAAAAAUUAAAAGCCAAGAGAACUGAAAUUGGAAAAUUUUGAGGAGAUUGAAAGUACGACCUAGAAUUGAGUAUUGCUCCAUACGGCGGUGACACAGAGUGGUCGACGGAAAGGACUCACCGUGGAUGAUUCUCGAUGCUUUGAACGGUCCAUGGGAUGAUACGGCGAUGGGAUAAACCUACCUCACACUUUCAUCAUUGCCUUGGGCACUUGCGGUUUCUUUUCCUUUUGUGUUUGUUUUAGCAAAAAGUGUCCUAAUAUACAAAUCUUUACUCAAAUAACAUAUCAAUAAUUGAUUCUGCCAUGAGUUUGCAUCUAAGAAUUUAGAAUACCAUGUUUAUGUCUAAACUCAGAGAUCGACCGGAUAAUUUGAAGUGCUUCAUAUAAUUGUUGCAUUCCUCAGUAUAAACAAGUGAUGCCCAACCAAUGUAUUGUGCAUUCCUCAGUAUAAACAGUGAUCCCGACCUAACUACUUCUUCAACAUCCUGACAAAUAUUAUGUUACAAUAUCAAGCAGGCUUCAGUUGAAUUGUAAGUCUUCUUCUAGUCUAAAUUCAGAACACGGGAAUUCUGCUAUGAAUCAAAAUAGGCUUUAUGAUCGUACCUAUUGGUCAGUAUUUUGCUCCAAGCACCAACUGCGGACUAUUUCCUUCUGCCAGCUGUUUGUUAGUAAUCAGCACCCAUCAUCUAAUUAAAAAAUCCAUCAAGAGAAUCUAUGCAUGUUAUAAAAAUCUGGAAUUGUUUAAUUGUUGACUCUAUUCAAUGUUAAAAAUCUGUGAAUAAGAAUGGAAGAUUUUGUCGCAUAUAAUGUACAAUUAAAACACAAUAAAUUAGGUUUAUCCUACUAGUGUUGAAUAUGCAUCAUAAUCCCAACAUUGGACGGUAGGAAUCGCCACAACCACUUCUCACCUCUUCCUUGAAAUCCCUCAUUGAUACUUUCUCACCAAAACAAUGCAAUGAUAAAGUGAACAUAGAGUGUCUCUAUUUCGGCUUUGUUAAUUAAAAUCAUGUUUUUUGAUAACUAGUACAGAAAGGAAAUACUCAAACCCAUAUAAUUGUCAUAUUAAUUAUAAAAUGAAAUGUAAAUCGUUAUGAGCAUUAGGGAUAAACCCUGGAAAGAUAUCUGAUGCUGUUUGCUAGCUUCCAUUGGUUCCAAAACAGUUACUUGAAUGACUCCCAUUGUAGUGAUGACUUGAGAUCCUGCAAAAAUGUUUUUAGAAAUUCAAGUCAGAAAUGAAAUUGGAAAUUUUGAGAAGAUGAGACUACGACCUAGAAUUGAGAUGCCUUCAUACGGCGGUGACACAGAGUGUGUCGACGGAAAGGACUCACCGUGGUUCAGAAACGGUCCAUGGAGAUGAUUCUCGAUGUUUCAAAACGGUCCAUGGAGAUGAUUCGCGAUGGGACAAACCCUACCUCAGGCUUUCCUCAUGCCUUGGACACUUGCGGUUUCUUUUCCUUUUGUGUUUGUUUUAGCAAAAAGUU